rnacentral:pre_miRNA from 1 species
UGUAACAGCAACUCCAUGUGGAAGUGUCCACUGAUUCCAGUGGGGCUGCUGUUAUCUG